rnacentral:miRNA from 1 species
CCAUUCUGACAAGAUUGA